GAUAGGCUAAUUAAGAGCGUAAGGGGAAUGCCUUGGCUCUCAGAGGCGAAGAAGGACGUGGUAAGCUGCGAAAAGUUGCGGGGAGUGGCACAUACAUUAUAAUCCGCAAAUGUCCGAAUGGGGAAACCCGAUUAUUUGAAGAAUAAUCAUCCAUUUAUGGAAGCUAACCCGGAGAACUGAAACAUCUAAGUACCCGGAGGAAAGAAAACAAUAGUGAUUCCGCUAGUAGUGGCGAGCGAACGCGGAAUAGCCCAAACCUAAAUUGUUUCGGCAAUUUAGGGGUUGUAGGACCACAAUAUUUAUUGCUUAAUGAAUUAGAAUCAGUUGGAAAUCUGAACCAUAGAGGGUGAUAGUCCCGUACAAGUAAAGAGAGUUAAUAAUAGUGGUAUCCUGAGUAAUGCGGGGCACGGGAA
rnacentral:rRNA from 1 species